rnacentral:lncRNA from 1 species
UUGGGCCUCCCAAAGUGCCGAAAUGACAGGCAUGAGCCGGCAUGCCCAAACAGUCCUGAACAUAUUUUGAAUAGAGGAAAACCUAAACGGAUUUCCUGGUGGUUGGUUGAAGGAGGAAGGAAAAAGAUGAGUCAAAGAUAGCUCAAAUCUUUUGGCUUGAACAACUGGAAGGAUGAAGACAGGGGAGGCUGAGGGUGGGGCUGGAUCCCUGUGUUUUGGUGUGGCAGGGCAAAGGGAGGGAAGGAGGAGAUUGGGAGUCCCCUCUGGGACAUGUUAAAUUUAAAGGGUCUGUGGUGGGUGUGUAGCAGUCCCUGGGCAGAUGUGUCUGAGGUUUAGGAGAGAAGUUGACAAUAGGAAUUACAAUUUGGGAGUCCUGAGCAUAUUGAUGAUGUUUAAGGCCCUGAGAUUGGAGAAGGUUUUCUUGGAGAUGCAAGGAUCAACCCUAGGACUCCAACAGGAAGAGGCCAGGGAGAUGGAGAAGGCAGCCAGCUUAGACAGAAAGGGAUGGGAAGGAAGAGCCCUCGCAGAGGCAGGGAUUGAGAGAGAGCUGGAUCAACUGCCUUUGGCGAAGGAAUACCUGCCUCCGAGAAUAGCUGUGAGAAUUAAAUGCCUAGAAGGAUUACCAGCACCUGGUAAAUUGUAAACCAUCAGUGCGUGUUUGUUAUUGGCCAUGAAGACAACUCAAGAAACGGACCUGAUAAAAACCUAUGUGGAGGCAAUGGCUGGACUGCUGCCUGGGAAAGGCUUCCUUACUCUCAUUUCUUCCUUCAGCCAACAUGCCCUGAGCUUGUGUUAUGUGUCAGACACUGGGCUGGGAGCCCGAGAAGACAGGUAGCCCUACUGGGAUAGGGACUACAUGUUCCAACUGCCUUUGCAGGUGGGAGUGGCCAUGGGACUAAGUUCCAGCCAACAGGAUGUGAGAAAUGCCGUGUGCACCGACUGCUUCUCCUUCCGCCCCUGUAGGCUGUGAUGCCCACCUGAAGCCCUGCUGGAGAGGACAGCACUCCGAGGAGUAGCAGAGGAACCAGAUGGAAGUAGCCAUGGUCUGGGACAACCUCAUGUAGCAAAACGGCCCUCCUGGCCUGGACAGACAGCUGAGGGUGCAAGCCCCGAGAAAUGCGAGCCAUGGCUCUUCAUGGCUGAAGGAAUUGGUCACCUAACACUGACACGGUCUGGAAGAAUUAUUUUGAAGUGGGAGUGGCCAUGGAAUUAAGUUCCAGCCAACAGGAUGUGAGAAAUGACACAUGCACCGACCGCAUCUCCUACCACUCCUGCAGGCUGUGAUGACCACCUGAAGACCUGCUGGGGAGGACGGCACUCCAGGGAGUAGCAGAGCAACCACAAGGAAGUAGCCGUGGUGUGGGACGUCCUCAUGUAGCAGAAUGGCCUACCUGACCUGGACCGCCUACUGCCUCUGGACUGUUAAGAGAGGAUAGACACUGUCUUGGUGAUACCACUUAACAGUCGUGUGCAGCAUCAUGACAUUUUGGGCAGCAAUGGACCACAUGUACAAUAAGAUUAUCACAGAGCUCAACAUUCCUAUUUCCUGGUGACAUGGCAGCCAUCAUGACUUCGUAGCACAAUGCAUUCCUCACGUGUUUGCAGUGGUACUGGUGUAAACACACCUCCUUGCACUGUCAAUCAUAGAAUUUAGCACAUAGAAUUACAUACAGUACAUAACACCUGAUAAUGAUAAUAAAUGACUAUGUUAAAAGUUUAUGUACUUACUAUACUUUUAUCAUUAUUUUAAAAUGUGUGCCUCCUAUUUAUGCAGAAAAAAGUUAGUUAUGAAGCAGCCUCAGGCAGGUCCCCCAGGAGGGAUUCUAGAAGAAGGCAUUGUUAUCCUAGGAGAUGACAGCUCCAUGCAUGUCACUGCCCCUAAGACUGUCCAGUGAGCAAGAUGUGGAAGCAGAAAUUGAUGAUCCCGACCCUGUGAGACCUAGGCUAAUGUGCGUAUUUGUGUCUUAGUUUUUAACACAAAGUUCUAAAGAAAUUUUUAAGUAGAAAAACGCUUAUAGAUUC